AGAGUUUGAUCCUGGCUCAGAACGAACGCUGGCGGCAUGCCUAACACAUGCAAGUCGAACGAGACCUUCGGGUCUAGUGGCGCACGGGUGCGUAACGCGUGGGAAUCUGCCCUUGGGUUCGGAAUAACAGUUAGAAAUGACUGCUAAUACCGGAUGAUGACUUCGGUCCAAAGAUUUAUCGCCCAAGGAUGAGCCCGCGUCGGAUUAGCUAGUUGGUGAGGUAAAAGCUCACCAAGGCGACGAUCCGUAGCUGGUCUGAGAGGAUGAUCAGCCACACUGGGACUGAGACACGGCCCAGACUCUUACGGGAGGCAGCAGUGGGGAAUUUGGACAAUGGGCGAAAACCCUGAUCCAGCAAUGGCCGCGUGGAGUGAUGAAGGGCUUAGGGUUGUAAAGGCUCCUUUUAACCCGGGGAUGAUAAUGAACAGUACCCGGGAGAAAUAAAGCCCCCGGGGUUAACUUCCGUGGCCAGCAGCCCGCCGGUAAUACGGGAGGGGGGCUAGCGGUUGUUUCGGAAAUUACUGGGGCGUAAAAGCGCCACGUAGGGCGGCUUUUGGUAAUUUAAAAGGUGAAAAGCCCCGGGGGCUUCAACUUCCCGGAAAUUUGGCCCUUUAAAAAUUGCAUCCGCUAGAAAUUGUGGGGAGAAGGGAAGUUGGAAAUUCCCCAGUGGAAGAGGGUGAAAAUUUCUCUAAAUAAUUUCUCGAAGAAAACCCCCGUGGGCGAAAGGCGAACUUUUAUGGGGCCACAUAUUUGGACGCCCUGAAGAGUGGGCGAAAAGCGUGGGGGGGGGCAAAACACGGAAUAUAUAAUAAACCCCUGGGUAGGUCCCACCGCCCCUGUACCGAUGAUGACUAGUCUUGUCGGGCCGUAUUAGCUUUUCCCGGGUGGCCGCAGCUUACGGGCGUUAUAAGUCCAUCCCCCCGUGGGGGAGUACCGCCCCGCAAGGUUAAAAAACUCCAAGAGAAAUUGGCGGGGGGGCCUGCCACAAGGCGGGUGGGAGCAUGUGGGUUUUAUUUCGAAAGCAACCGGCGCCAGGACCUUUUACCCAGCUUUUUGCACAUGGUUAGGACGUGUUUUCCCAGAGAGAUGGAUUCCUUCCCUUACGGGGACUAAACACACCAGGUUGCGCCAAUGGCUGUUCGUUCCAGCCUCGGUGUCGGUGAAGAUGUUUGGGUUAAGUUCCCGCAACCGAAGCCGCAACCCCUCGUUCUUUUAGUUGCCCAAUCAUUUAGUUGGGCACUCUAAAAGAAAACUUGCCGGUGAUAAGCCGGAGGAAGGGGGGGGAUGACGUCAAGUCCUCAUGGCCCUUACGCGCUGGGCUACACACGUGCUACAAUGGCGGUGACAGAGGGCAGCAAACCCGCGAGGGUGAGCUAAUCUCCAAAAGCCGUCUCAGUUCGGAUUGUUCUCUGCAACUCGAGAGCAUGAAGGCGGAAUCGCUAGUAAUCGCGGAUCAGCACGCCGCGGUGAAUACGUUCCCAGGCCUUGUACACACCGCCCGUCACACCAUGGGAGUUGGUUUCACCCGAAGGCGCUACGCUAACCGCAAGGAGGCAGGCGACCACGGUGGGAUCAGCGACUGGGGUGAAGUCGUAACAAGGUAACC
rnacentral:rRNA from 1 species